rnacentral:misc_RNA from 1 species
CUGAGUUAGGGUCUUUUAGGCCUGACCUCCAACCCUGUGUUUAACUACCUGUUGCUUUGGCGAGCCCGUCUUCGGACCGCCGGCGGUCAAGUUUUGACCUCUGGCCAGUGCUCGUCAAUGGCCCAAUUUAAAAUUCUUGUCAAAAUAUGAUAUCUGAGUAUAAUAAACAAAUAAAUUA